rnacentral:rRNA from 1 species
AUUGAACGCUGGCGGCAUGCCUUACACAUGCAAGUCGAACGGUAACAGGUCUUCGGAUGUUGACGAGUGGCGAACGGGUGAGUAAUACAUCGGAACGUGCCUAGUAGUGGGGGAUAACUACUCGAAAGAGUGGCUAAUACCGCAUGAGAUCUACGGAUGAAAGCAGGGGAUCGCAAGACCUUGUGCUACUAGAGCGGCCGAUGGCAGAUUAGGUAGUUGGUGGGAUAAAAGCUUACCAAGCCGACGAUCUGUAGCUGGUCUGAGAGGACGAUCAGCCACACUGGGACUGAGACACGGCCCAGACUCCUACGGGAGGCAGCAGUGGGGAAUUUUGGACAAUGGGCGCGAGCCUGAUCCAGCAAUGCCGCGUGCAGGAUGAAGGCCUUCGGGUUGUAAACUGCUUUUGUACGGAACGAAAAGCCCUGGGUUAAUACCCUGGGGUCAUGACGGUACCGUGAGAAUAAGCACCGGCUAACUACGUGCCAGCAGCCGCCGUAAGAC